UUCCAGGAAACACACGCUAAACUGUCAUCGUAUGAAACCUGCUUUAUUCAGUGUUUUAUGCGAAAUCAAGGAAAAAACAGUUUUAAGUAUCCGUGGUACACAAGAAGAAGAACCUGCAGACCCUCAAUUAAUGAGACUGGAUAACAUGUUGAUUGCUGAAGGUGUUGCAGGGCCUGAGAAAGGAGGUGGCUCAUCGGCUGCAGCUAAUGCAACAGCGGCUGCAUCCAGUGGUCCAGGCCAACCCGACAGCGCGAUUGAACAUUCAGAUUACAGGGCCAAGCUUGCACAAAUACGACAGAUAUAUCAUACAGAACUUGAAAAAUAUGAACAGGCGUGUAAUGAAUUUACCAGUCAUGUAAUAAAUUUACUACGGGAGCAAAGUCGCACUCGUCCAAUUGCUCCGAAAGAAAUAGAACGGAUGGUUAGCAUAAUUCGGAAAAAAUUUGCUGCAAUUGAGAUGCAGUUGAAACAAAGCACAUGUGAAGCAGUUAUGAUAUUACGAUCCAGAUUUUUAGAUGCCAGACGGAAAAGAAGAAACUUCAGUAAACAAGCCACAGAAAUUCUUAACGAAUAUUUUUAUUCUCACUUGAGCAAUCCAUAUCCUAGUGAAGAAGCAAAAGAAGAACUUGCCAGAAAGUGUGGUAUUACAGUAUCACAGGUAUCGAACUGGUUUGGAAAUAAACGAAUUCGGUAUAAAAAGAAUAUUGGUAAAGCGCAGGAAGAAGCAAAUUUAUAUGCAGCUAAAACAGCAGCAGCUGCAGCAGCACAGCAAGCAGUAUCAGGUCACGAUGGCGGUGCAGCACAAGGGGUUUCAGGUUAUAAUAUGGUGGCAUCUUCGCAAGCACAACUAGGAGGUCAACAACAGAGCAUCUAUAUGAAUUUAAACGGUGAUAGUUACCAGGGCAAUGAGACAUCGGUUGGGGCUAAUGUCCAGUCUCAGUUGUUUACAUAACUGGGUAAUUACUCUUACAGAUAUUUACGUGACUGGGUGUGACCCUUACAGAUGUUUUGUUUACUAACUGCUUCCCAGGUGGCGCCCCUGUGCCUGUUCAUUUGUGACAUGACGUCUGUACAUACACAUUCAUGGUCUAUUUGUGUUAGACACACAUCAAUCACACGGUUAUGUGACAACAGGACUUCAACUCACAGCAAGGUCACUCGAUCCGAUGCCCACCACAGGUCUAUUAUGAUACUACUACUACUACUGCAGCAACUGCUCUUUGACUACAGUGGUGGUGGUCAUUUUUGUUGGAGAAGAUGAUGAUAUAAGUGGUGGUUUCAGUGGUGGUGGUGGUGGUAUUCAUGGUAGUCGUGAUGUUGGUGGGUUAUUUUUGAUGUGGUGGUGGAUGGUUAAUGAUGAUGGUGAAUGGUGACAGUGGCAUUGAUGAAGUUACCCUUCAGUUCCUUGUGUAAAUCUACAAUUAUAUUUGUAGGUUAUUGACUUAAUGAUGAACCCUUAGAUAUAACACAGAGAAAAAAAAAUAAAAUAAAAACCAACAGAAUGAAUUUGUGAACUCUGAGGUGGGUAAAAACUUCAACGUGGCACUGCUGAACAGUGAUAAGAAGUGAAAAAAAAAAAAAAGAAAUAUUUAAAAAUUGUAAAAAAUAAAAAAUAAAAUUUAA
rnacentral:misc_RNA from 1 species